rnacentral:tRNA from 1 species
AUCGAUGUAGCUCAACGGAAGAGCUCCCGACAGGGAAGGUGGUGGUUCAAUUCCACCCAUCGAUA